rnacentral:rRNA from 1 species
AACGAACGCUGGCGGCAUGCCUAACACAUGCAAGUCGAACGAGACCUUCGGGUCUAGUGGCGCACGGGUGCGUAACGCGUGGGAACCUGCCCUUAGGUUCGGAAUAACUCCCCGAAAGGGGUGCUAAUACCGGAUAAUGUCUUCGGACCAAAGAUUUAUCGCCUUUGGAUGGGCCCGCGUUGGAUUAGCUAGUUGGUAGGGUAAAAGCCUACCAAGGCGACGAUCCAUAGCUGGUCUGAGAGGAUGAUCAGCCACACUGGGACUGAGACACGGCCCAGACUCCUACGGGAGGCAGCAGUGGGUAAUAUUGGACAAUGGGCGAAAGCCUGAUCCAGCAAUGCCGCGUGAGUGAUGAAGGCCUUAGGGUAGUAAAGCUCUUUUACCCGGGAUGAUAAUGACAGUACCGGGAGAAUAAGCUCCGGCUAACUCCGUG